UAAAGACUAUGACAAAGAGAAAAAGCACACGAUUUUUGUGCCUUUCAUUAUUGAUCAACACUGGUCCUUAGUUGUGGUGGAACCUGGGAGAGAAGUUAUAACUGUUCUUGAUUCCUUUUAUGAAUUGCGGCUGUGCGAAAAACGUCAUGAAAAUCUGAUGGCUCAACUGCAAAAAAAUCUUUAUCCUUUCAUAGGCCUGGAAAAUGCUACGCACCGAUUUAUUACACCACCAGUAGUUCAGAAUCAAAAUAACAGUCAUGAUUGUGGUUUUCAUAUGCUUCUGUACAUAAAGCGAUAUGAGGAUCAAAACUACCAUAACAUUAGUGAGGACGAAGUCAUCAUGUGCCGCAUAGAGACUGCGAUGUUGCUCCUUAACAAUGAAGACAACAAGUGCAGGGACAAAUUUACAGAGAGCCAUGCAAUAACGAAAGAGCAAAAGAAAGAAAAGGUGAGAGAUAAAGUUGACGACAAGAAAGGAGAUAGAAAAGAUGAGAGUUCAGACGAUGAUUAUGAGGACAAGUCUGAGGAGGAGGAG
rnacentral:misc_RNA from 1 species